CGCCGGGUCCUGCACAACGGGCGGCUCUGAACCCCGCCAGGUCCGGAAGGAAGCAACGGUAGGAGCUCAACGUGUGUUGUAGGGUGCCUGGCGGCC
rnacentral:SRP_RNA from 1 species